rnacentral:rRNA from 1 species
UGUCGCGGCGACGUGGGCGGUUCGCCGCCGGCGACGUCGCGAGAAUUCCACUGAACCUUAUCAUUUAGAGGAAGGAGAAGUCGUAACAAGGUUUCCGUAGGUGAACCUGCGGAAGGAUCAUUGUCGAACCUGCAAGGCAGAACGACCUGUGAACAUGUAAAUACAACCCGGUGAUGGGGAUAUGGUCCUUGGUCCUUAUCCCCUUCCCCUCCCUGCAUGCGUGUGUGGAGCUCCGUUUGGGGUGCCAUGCAUGUCAUGUUGGGAUUUAACAAACCCCGGCACGGAAUGUGCCAAGGAAAACAAAAGUGAGAAGGACUCGUCUUGUCUUGCCCCGUUCGCGGUGUGCAAGCGGGUUGUGGCCUCUUUGUAAUUAAAAACGACUCUCGGCAACGGAUAUCUCGGCUCACGCAUCGAUGAAGAACGUAGCAAAAUGCGAUACUUGGUGGAAUUGCAGAAUCCCGUGAACCAUCGAGUUUUUGAACGCAAGUUGCGCCCAAAGCCAUCCGGCCGAGGGCACGCCUGCCUGGGCGUCACGCUUCGCGUCGCCCCCCACCAUAUAAUACCCAACGGGUACUCAUGGUGUUUGGGGCGGAGAUUGGCCUCCCGUACUUGUAUUGCGGUUGGCCUAAAAAUGAGUCCCCUUCAGCGGACGCACGACUAGUGGUGGUUGAACAGACCCUCGUCCUUAUCGUGUGUCGUGAGCUGCUAGGGAAGCCCUCACCAAAGACCCCAUUGCAUUGUUUUUUGGACGGUGCUUCGACCGCGACCCCAGGUCAGGCGGGACUACCCGCGGAGUUUAAGCAUAUCAAUAAGCGGAG